CAGCCUGGAAAAGGUAGUAAGAAGAUCCAGCUGCUCCUGGUGUCUGACUGUCCUUUAUUUCUCUUGCAGAAAGUGGUUUCUGGAGAAGUUAAAGCCUGAAGGUCUCCACCAGCUCCUGGCCGGGUUCGAGGACAAGUCAGCCUAUGCGCUCUGCACGUUUGCACUCAGCACCGGGGACCCAAGCCAGCCCGUGCGCCUGUUCAGGGGCCGGACCUCGGGCCAGAUCGUGGCACCCAGAGGCUGCCAGGACUUUGGCUGGGACCCCUGCUUUCAGCCUGAUGGAUAUGAGCAGACGUACGCAGAGAUGCCUAAGGCGGAGAAGAACGCUGUCUCCCAUCGCUUCCGGGCCCUGCUGGAGCUGCAGGAGUACUUUGGCAG
rnacentral:sRNA from 1 species